GUGACGCGACCCACGUCCGCCUGCACCGGGAAGGAGCCCACAGCCCUGCUCAGGAACAGAUGAAGACAAACCUGUCUUGGUUGCUGCAGCUGCACCAGCUCUCAGCCACCAGUCUGCGGAGGAUCUAGCCCGUGGUACGUGAUCACAGGGGCCCUGUUUACUGAAAUGCUCCGAUAGAAACACAACGUGAUCAAAGGGAAACAGAGCCAGGGGAGCAGCGGUGCCCAUGGAUACCUGUUAGUGGGCGGGAGCUGAAGCACACAGCUGCCAUCAAAGACCCUGCUGUCCUCUGCUCUGCUCUGCCCCGCUUCCGUCUCCCUGCUGAUGGGAUGCUGUCUUCCAGCUGAAGCAUGACUGACAGCUGAAAUAACAGUCCCAGUUUGCUCCAGCUUGGCAACUUUCCCAAGGCAAUCCAUACCAGAAAGGAGAACAUGGCUGCAGAGCGGCACAGACGGGAGCAGUGCUGAUGGAACAGCUUCGUUUAAACGCCACGAAAUGCUGAGAUGUGAGACGUAACUGAAAGCGAAUCACAGCCCCUAAUCUCUACCAUCAGUUCUUCUGCUUGCCUUCACUACCAGCAGCACCUAGCAGCCCCUGGCUGGCUGUCUCCACUCUCGUCUCCAUCUUGUUCGAGGAGCUGCCUGCGGCAGAGCACGCAAGCAGCCCGGCGAGCGGUUCGAGGGGCAGCCGUUCUAUUUAUUUAUUUAUUUUCUCCUAAUUCCUCGUGAUCCUCAUGAGCAUUUCCCCACUGAAGUGCCUGUGGCAUCAUUAGGUGUUUAAUGAGAGCGAUGCCUGAAUAUUAUUGUUUUUAUGGC
ensembl:lncRNA